UGGGGAAUUUUGGACAAUGGGGGCAACCCUGAUCCAGCAAUGCCGCGUGAGUGAAGAAGGCCUUCGGGUUGUAAAGCUCUUUUGUCAGGGAAGAAACGGUAGUAGCGAAUAACUACUACUAAUGACGGUACCUGAAGAAUAAGCACCGGCUAACUACGUGCCAGCAGCCGCGGUAAUACGUAGGGUGCAAGCGUUAAUCGGAAUUACUGGGCGUAAAGCGUGCGCAGGCGGUUGUGUAAGUCAGAUGUGAAAUCCCCGGGCUCAACCUGGGAAUUGCAUUUGAGACUGCACGGCUAGAGUGUGUCAGAGGGGGGUAGAAUUCCACGUGUAGCAGUGAAAUGCGUAGAUAUGUGGAGGAAUACCGAUGGCGAAGGCAGCCCCCUGGGAUAACGACUGACGCUCAUGCACGAAAGCGUGGGGAGCAAACAGGAUUAGAUACCCCUGUAGUCCCUGAGCGGGCUGGCAAGGCGCAU
rnacentral:rRNA from 1 species